AGAGUUUGAUCCUGGCUCAGAACGAACGUUGAUGGCGUGCCUCAUACAUGCAAGUCGAGCGCCCCGCAAGGGGAGCGGCGGACGGGUGAGUAACACGUAAAGAAUCUGCCCUGAAGCGGGGAAUAACUAUCCCAACGGAUAGCUAAUACCGCAUAAUGAUGGAGGAGGCAUCUCCUCUUCUCAAAAGGCUUCGGCCGCUUCAGGAUGACUUUGCGUCCCAUUAGCUUGUUGGCGGGGUAACGGCCCACCAAGGCUACGAUGGGUAUCCGGCCUGAGAGGGUGUACGGACACAUUGGGACUGAGAUACGGCCCAGACUCCUACGGGAGGCAGCAGUAGGGAAUUUUGCGCAAUGGGGGAAACCCUGACGCAGCAACGCCAUAUGUGGGAUGAAGCAUUUCGGUGUGUAAACCACUGUCAGCGGGGAAUAAACGGCAGCUUCGGGCUGCUUUGAAUGUACCCGCAAAGGAAGCCCCGGCUAACUUCGUGCCAGCAGCCGCGGUAAUACGAGGGGGGCAAAUGUUGUUCGGAAUCACUGGGCGUAAAGGGAGCGUAGGCGGGGUCUUAAGUAAAGUGUUUAAUCCCGGGGCCCAACCCCGGACCGGCAUUUUAAACUGGGACUCUUGAAUAGUGGAGAGGUCGGUGGAAUUGGGGGGUGUAGCGGUGGAAUGCGUAGAGAUCCCCAAGAACACCAGUUGCGAAGGCGGCCGACUGGACACAUAUUGACGCUGAGGCUCGAAAGCAUGGGGAGCAAACAGGAUUAGAUACCCUGGUAGUCCAUGCCAUAAACGAUGAAUACUAGGUUUUGGGCCCGUCAACGGUCCAGAGCCGCAGCUAACGCGUUAAGUAUUCCGCCUGGGGAGUACGGUCGCAAGACUGAAACUCAAAGGAAUUGACGGAAGGGCACCACCAGGGGUGGAGCCUGCGGCUUAAUUUGACACAACACGGGGAAACUCACCCGGCCCGGACACCGUAAGGAUUGACAGAUUGAGAGCUCUUUCUUGAUUCGGUGGGUGGUGGUGCAUGGCCGUUCUUAGUUGGUGGAGUGAUUUGUCUGGUUUAUUCCGAUAACGAACGAGACUCUGGCCUGCUAACUAGUGUUCACAUCUUUACGUGUGCUUCGCUUCUUAGAGGGACAGGCGGCUUCCAGCCGCAUGAAAAAGAGCAAUAACAGGUCUGUGAUGCCCUUAGAUGUCCGGGGCUGCACGCGCGCUACACUGAAAGAAUCAGCGUGUACGUUACCUGGCUCGAAAGAGUCGGGUAAUCCGGUGAAAAUCUUUCGUGAUUGGGAUCGGGACUUGCAAUUAUUUCCCUUGAACGAAGAAUCCCUAGUAAGUGCGGGUCAUCAGCUCGCGCUGAUUACGUCCCUGCCCUUUGUACACACCGCCCGUCGCUGCCCGGAACUGAGCCGUUUCGAGAAUAAUGGGGACUGUCUGCUUGAGGUCUUCACGGACUUUUUGCAAAUGGAAACCGCUUUAAUCGCAGCGGCUU
rnacentral:rRNA from 1 species